rnacentral:misc_RNA from 1 species
UUUCCGUAGGUGAACCUGCGGAAGGAUCAUUACAGAAUAAACUUGAUGGAUUGUUGCUGGCUCUCUUGGGGGUAUUGUGAACGUUCAUCAUUUUUAUCUUUCCACCUGUGCACCCUUUGUAGUUCUGGAAUAUCAUUAUAGCGAAAGCUUGUCUCAAGUUUUCGCUGUGCUUUGAAGGCUUGCUGUGCUAUUUAUUAAGCCGGCUUUCCUUUACACUUUUCCAGAUCUAUGUUUUUACAACUACACCAUUUAUGUUAUAGAAUGUCAUUUUUAGGCCUUACAAAGCCUAUAUAAACCAUAUACAACUUUCAGCAACGGAUCUCUUGGUUCUC